AUAUAUAUAUUCGACUUUCACACAUAUAGAUCAUAGUAAACAAAAGUCAUAUACAUUAUAGGUCAUCUUUGACCUUUCUAUUUUCAUCAAUUUGAACCAUUCCUUGACCAAAUAUUACAUUCGACAUUUUUUUGUCUAUUCAUCCCAAAUACAAUUAAUUAAUUCAUCCUUUAACCUUAAACACAUUCGGCCUUAAAAUACAAACAAUUUAACAUU
rnacentral:lncRNA from 1 species